AACGGAAUCCAUGGUGUAGCAAUACACCGGAAGAUUUAGUGGCGAACGGGUGAGGAUCACGUGAGAAACCUGCCCCAGUAUUUUGGGAUAACAGUUGGAAACGACUGCUAAUACCGAAUGACGUCGGAGAACCGCAUGGUUCACUGAACGAAAGGAAUCCGGUUGGGAGGUCUCGCGGCCUAUCAGCUUGUUGGUGGGGUAAUGGCCUACCAAGGCAACGACGGGUAGCUGGUCUGAGAGGAUGAUCAGCCACACUGGGACUGAGACACGGCCCAGACUCC
rnacentral:rRNA from 1 species